GACGAACGCUGGCGGCGUGCUUAACACAUGCAAGUCGAACGAGACGAUUGAAAGCUUGCUUUUGAAAGUCGAGUGGCAAACGGGUGAGUAACGCGUAGACAACCUGCCUUUGAGAUGGGGACAACAGUUCGAAAGGACUGCUAAUACCGAAUGUUGUAUAUUUUCCACAUGGAAGAUAUAUUAAAGAUGGCCUCUAUUUAUAAGCUAUCGCUCAAAGAUGGGUCUGCGUCUGAUUAGCUAGUUGGUGGGGUAACGGCCUACCAAGGCGACGAUAAGGAGCCGGUCUGCGAGGAUGAACGGCCACAUUGGGACUGAGACACGGCCCAGACUCCUACGGGAGGCAGCAUUGGGGAACCUUCCACAAUGGACGAAAGUCUGAUGGAGCAACGCCGCGUUAGUGAAGAAGGGUUCGGCUCGUAAAGCUCUGUUGUCGGGGACGAAUGUGCAGUAUUUGAAUAAAGUAGUGUAAUGACGGUACCUGACGAGGAAGCCACGGCUAACUACGUGCCAGCCGCCGCAGUAAUAC
rnacentral:rRNA from 1 species